AUAACCCCACACCAGGCAGGUCACGCAUAUAUAUUCCACACCAGGCAGGUCACCCAUAUAACCCCACACCAGGCAGGUCACGCAUAUAUAUUCCACACCAGGCAGGUCACCCAUAUAACCCCACACCAGGCAGGUCACCCAUGUAACCCAACACCAGACAGGUCACCCUUGAUACAAGUCACUACUAGACAUGCAUCCAUGGAAACCGGCCACUAGGGGCAACAGUGAGCGCUGUUACCCUCAAGUAGGUAUCUGUUUUGCCACACACACACACACACACACACACACACACACACACACACACACCUCAUGGGCUGUCAAUAGAGGAUAACAGUGGUACCAGCAGGGUGACUAAAUAACAAACUGCCCACCCCAGAAUGCUAAUGAACAUUGAGUGUUCAUCAGAGGAGCCCCCUUAUUAAGAUGACGCCGGAGAAUAAGGCUGACGUUUUACGUAUUCCUAACCAAUUAUUUUUUUUUUUUGGUGGUUUCUUUGCAUUGUUUGUAACUUAUUUUUUAAACUUAUUUUGUACAUAAUGAUGCGGCUACCAUCUCUUAUGACCGAAAAUAACUUCUGGGCAUCAGAACUGCGAUUACUCACCACGGACUGGCAGAAUCCUUUUUUCCUUUAAUGAGUCCGACCAGCCCGACGUGAAUGAUUUACUUCUUCCCUGGGAACAGGCCCAGAUCCCCAUCAUUUGCGUGAAGAGAAAGCAGAGAAAACGGGGCCAGAAGGCGGGCUGCCUUCUGAGAGUUGGUAGGCGAUUGAAUAAACCCCCACUUCCUUCCAUUCUGCUAGCAAACGUGCAAUCUUUGGACAAUAAAAUCAAUGACCUACGCGGAAGAUUAAACUACCAACGGGACAUUCAAAACUGUAGUAUAUAAUGCUUCACGGAGUCAUGGCUGAACGACAACCUUUACAACAUACCCUGUAGCGUAUUUUCG
ensembl:lncRNA